rnacentral:rRNA from 1 species
UACAGAGGUCCCAAGCGUUGUUCGGAUUUACUGGGCGUAAAGGGUGCGUAGGUGGCCAAGAAAGUCUGAUGUGAAAUCUUGGAGCUCAACUCCGAAACUGCAUUGGAAACUGCUUGGCUAGAGGUGUGGAGGGGGGAUUGGAAUUCUCGGUGUAGCAGUGAAAUGCGUAGAUAUCGAGAGGAACACCAGUGGCGAAGGCGAAUCCCUGGACACCACCUGACACUGAGGCACGAAAGCCAAGGGAGCAAACGGG